rnacentral:rRNA from 1 species
UGGGGAAUAUUGCACAAUGGAGGAAACUCUGAUGCAGCGACGCCGCGUGAGUGAAGAAGGUCUUCGGAUCGUAAAACUCUGUCCUUGGUGACGAAAAAAAUGACGGUAGCCAAGGAGGAAGCCCCGGCUAACUACGUGCCAGCAGCCGCGGUAAUACGUAGGGGGCGAGCGUUGUCCGGAUUUACUGGGCGUAAAGGGUGAGUAGGCGGUAAUAUGUGUCAGAUGUAAAAGGCUAUGGCUUAACCAUAGUUGGCAUUUGAAACUGUAUUGAUUGAGUGCAGGAGAGGUAAGUGGAAUUCCUAGUGUAGCGGUGAAAUGCGUAGAUAUUAGGAGGAACACCAGUGGCGAAGGCGACUUACUGGACUGUAACUGACGCUGAGUCACGAAAGCGUGGGUAGCAAACA